CGGAAAGGCCUUGUGCUUGCACAAGGUACUCGAGUGGCGAACGGGUGAGUAACACGUGGGUGAUCUGCCCUGCACUGUGGGAUAAGCCUGGGAAACUGGGUCUAAUACCAUAUAGGACCGCAUCUUGGAUGGUGUGGUGGAAAGCUUUUGCGGUGUGGGAUGAGCCUGCGGCCUAUCAGCUUGUUGGUGGGGUAAUGGCCUACCAAGGCGGCGACGGGUAUCCGGCCUGAGAGGGUGUACGGACACAUUGGGACUGAGAUACGGCCCAGACUCCUACGGGAGGCAGCAGUGGGGAAUAUUGCACAAUGGGCGCAAGCCUGAUGCAGCGACGCCGCGUGGGGGAUGAAGGCCUUCGGGUUGUAAACUCCUUUCGCUAUCGACGAAGCCUUCGGGUGACGGUAGGUAGAUAAGAAGCACCGGCUAACUACGUGCCAGCAGCCGCGGUAAUACGUAGGGUGCAAGCGUUGUCCGGAAUUACUGGGCGUAAAGAGCUCGUAGGUGGUUUGUCGCGUCGUCUGUGAAAUCCCGGGGCUUA
rnacentral:rRNA from 1 species